CCAGACUCCUACGGGAGGCAGCAGUGAGGAAUAUUGGUCAAUGGUCGGGAGACUGAACCAGCCAAGCCGCGUGAGGGAGGAAGGUACAGAGUAUCGUAAACCUCUUUUGUCAGGGAACAAAGACUGGGACGCGUCCCCGGAUGAGUGUACCUGAAGAAAAAGCAUCGGCUAACUCCGUGCCAGCAGCCGCGGUAAUACGGAGGAUGCGAGCGUUAUCCGGAUUUAUUGGGUUUAAAGGGUGCGUAGGCGGAGUGUCAAGUCAGCGGUAAAAUUUCGGGGCUCAACCCCGUCGUGCCGUUGAAACUGGCAGUCUCGUGUUGGAGAGAAGUAUGCGGAAUGCGCGGUGUAGCGGUGAAAUGCAUAGAUAUCGCGCAGAACUCCGAUUGCGAAGGCAGCAUGCCGGCUCCACACUGACGCUGAGGCACGAAAGCGUGGGUAUCGAACAGGAUUAGAUACCCGGGUACAU
rnacentral:rRNA from 1 species